rnacentral:rRNA from 1 species
GGACGAACGCUGGCGGCGUGCUUAACACAUGCAAGUCGAACGAGAGGACAAGAGAAGCUUGCUUCUUUUGGAAUCGAGUGGCAAACGGGUGAGUAACACGUAAACAACCUGCCUUCAGGAUGGGGACAACAGACGGAAACGACUGCUAAUACCGAAUACGCUUGGGAGACCGCAUGAUCUUCCAAGGAAAGGGUGGCCUCUACUUGUAAGCUAUCGCCUGAAGAGGGGUUUGCGUCUGAUUAGGCAGUUGGUGAGGUAACGGCCCACCAAACCUACGAUCAGUAGCCGGUCUGAGAGGAUGAACGGCCACACUGGAACUGAGAUACGGCCCAGACUCCUACGGGAGGCAGCAGUGGGGAAUAUUGGGCAAUGGGCGCAAGCCUGACCCAGCAACGCCGCGUGAAGGAAGAAGGCUUUCGGGUUGUAAACUUCUUUUGUCAGGGACGAGUAGAAGACGGUACCUGACGAAUAAGCCACGGCUAACUACGUG